ACAGGCAGCAGGCAGAAAGUGGUGGCAGAGUCUGGGGCAAGGGGAGCCGGGAGCAGACCCAGGUUGGGGCUGGAGAGGGAAGAAACUGGUCAGCAGGUUGUCCGGGGAGCUCCUGACUCGUAAAAAUAUCCGAGCUCCUUGGGCAUCUCAGCUGGAAUCCAGAGCGCUUGUGUCCUGCAGACCCACGCCCUUUCCAGAAGCUGCUGGCUGCAUGAGAUGAGGGAUCCCUGCACCGAGUGGAAAUGCAUUUGUGACGGUGUGAUGGAGGCAGGCACAGGACCCACAGUGCUGGCAUGCUCCAACACAGCAUUUCUUUCUGGAGGGAUGCUUCUGGAGCUUCAUCUUGGAUUUCCAGGUAACGGCAAAUCCCUUUGUGUCACUUAGAGCCAGCGUGAAUGCAAGGACUUGGCUCACUGCAAGAGUAUAGGCAGUGGUGGCACUGCCGAGGCUGGUGGUUGUGCUAUGCUCUCCCUGCAUUAAUGCUUUGGGCCACUUAAAAUGUUCCCAGAGGUGCUGGGUGUGUGCCUGCUGGGCACAGCUCAUCGCUGACGCUACAGGCAUGGGGAUAUAGCUUCUCAGCACGUCACCACCAGCCAGGCACAACACCCAGCAGCAGACGAGCACUGAUCUGUGCUGGUAAUUUGAGCAAUUUACCCACCACUGGGAUUUUAUUGCUUCUCCCGAACCAGACCGCUUCAGUCUCUGGGUACCCCAUAUAGUCACUUCAGGUGAUAAUCCCAUAAGCACCUGAAUAUGUCUUAAGGGAGGAGCAACACAGGUUUUUCUGUCAGAGGCACAGGUUGAGGUGGCAGUCUGCUUCCUCCCCAGAUGCAGGCAUGGGCCCCUCACUGUUUGGGACCAUUUGGGAGGACAGACCCACAGGUACUGCUGUUAUCCCUGGUGCCUCCACUGCUGCCCAACUCCCAUCAGGCUGAUCUAGUGAUAGUUGCGUCUCGGCUUUCUGGGAGAGAUAUUUUUUGACACUGCUGAGAGCAGCCAGUAGAUGUUGGAGCAGCUCCGGGGGACCAGGAGCAGGAGGAUGAAGUGAAAGCUGCUGCAGCAGAGAGAGAGUUGCCAGGUGAGAGAAGUGCAAGUUCCAUGUACAGCUUCACUGUGGCAGUUUUAUGCCUCAUUGGGAGAGCUUUCAGGAGAUUCUCAAAGAAAGGGUUGCAGCCAAGCACUGCACUGCCUCCAGAUGUGUGAUUUGCCACAAAACGGACCAGAUAGAUACUCAAGACGUGACUGCUUCAGAAACAUUACUGAUCCUGGGGAAGGAGUCGUUCACCUCAAGGCCAGAUAAAAGCAAGUGGGUCUUUGUGGCAGCAACCACCAGGAUGCAGCCAUCCGUCAGCACCUGGAAGAGGGGCUGCAGCUGGGAACUAUAAACAUUCUCAAGGGCAUCUGUAGGCUCUGUCGACAGCUGGGCUGAGCCUGCUCCUUCCAAGUCCAUCCUCUCCGUGGGUCCACUAACCUCCCGCGCAGUGGGAGCUGCAGCAUCCUGCACAGCUGAGGAAUGAACGCUUGCUGCACAGCUCAAGCUGACGUGGUCUCAGCCUCCCGUUCUCACACAUUGCUGUUCCCAUCUGCACCAUCAGGGUGGAAUGGGGUUGAAUUAAGCCCCUUUGUGACAAGUGGGCACACCGAGGUUCACUUAAUUACUGACACUCAAUGUUGGUGAAGCUCUUUUGUUACCCGCUCACAGUAGGGGUUUUCAGCAGAGCACCGUCUCAGGAGAAGCUACGUGGGAUGCUAAACUGUGAGUCCCAUGGCGUGUUUCAGGACAAGCAAUACUGAGAGCUACCCAAAAGACAAGACAAGGCACUGCUUGUGUCACUCCCUUACGGCUGCUUUGAGACAGGAUCAGUGUGUCAGCCACUUCCCUUUCUGCAAAUAACAGAACCUUCCUGUCUGCAGAAGGUUUGGGGCUAUUUUUAGACUUCUGAGUGAUUUACUCUCCCCCUCCAGUGAUAAUGUGAGCCCUAGUGUAAGCAAAUACCUGGAGCUGUAACUUUGUAUUAUAAAUUUUCCUAUUAUAAAACACGAGCCCAACAGAUGCAAAGGGCCAAGCUGUGUCCUGAUCUGAGUUGUGUUUCCGUGCAAUGGUUUAGCCAACCUAAUUUAACAAGACUUAAGUGACACCAUGACUUGAGUACAAAGGAGAAAUCAGUCAUGACAGCAACUUGAGAAUAACUUCCCACAUCGAGACUAGUUUGAAAUAAAAUUUAUUUAAGAGUAAAUGCAAAGUAAUUUCCUAGCAGAGAGUAUGUGUUAGCUGCAGCAGAAUAGUUAGUGUGGAAAGUAAUGUCAAUCAGUUUUCCAGCUAGACAAGUCCUUGGGGAAAGAAAGAAUAUUUUCAGCCAUUUACAAUACAAAGAGAAGUAGCAGACCUUACUUAAAUUCUUGCUGAGAUUUCCUUCUUGAGAGAGAAACAUUUCAACUGAAAGAAAACUAACAGAUUGACAUUGGACUGACAAAAUGCAAGAGCCAGCCAAACCGUCUCUGUGAUGAAAAUGAGUCUCAAACCACUCAGGUAAGCAACUCUGGAGAAGGUUUGUACACCACCUUUAAAAAACCACUGCUGAGAAAGCACGCUGACACAGCUUCUGCAGGAUGCUGAAUCAGCAGCAUCUUGCCUUGGUCUGGAAGGGACAGAAGGAAUCACUGUGAGUAUCGCAAACUUUUUGGGUUCUUUAACAUUAGGAUGUACUCCUCGUCCCCAUGGCCCAGUGUCUUUGCCAAGAGGGAUCAGACCAUACACGGUUCUCCACAGUUAGAUAGUUUAUUAGAGCACUCUCAGGAACUGAAGGAUGGAGAUUUUGGACACAUCUUUUUUUUUUUUUUUUUUUUUCUAGUCAUAUGUAAUAAAGCUUAGGACUUGAAACUCAAAAGCAGGAGGAAAUAAUAGGCAGGCUGAGUCAUCUCACUGAUGAGUAUCAGUUUACCAAACAUGAUUUACCAGCUAAAUCCCUCAGGCUCUUUGAAUUCGCUUUUAUUUUUGCUGCCUGUAGAGACCAGAUGAAGAGCACCUUGCUCUGCUACUGUGGUGGGUCACCCUUCCCAAAAGGGCACUGCACACCCUCGAAACAAACAGUGGACAUGAAAGCCAGCUUACGCAGAGGAGCUCUUCCUUUCCCAACCCUGCUGUGGGGGACCAAGGGGCAGUACGCUGACCACAGGAAGCACAGUGUGGCCUGCCUUUCUUGGGCUCUUUGUAAAGUAGCUCCCACCUGUUCCCCAAAGAGCUUCUCCUCUGUGUAGGGUAAGUUCUCAAGUUUUGUUUGGACCUCCUCGUGGAGGCUGGAAGCUUGCAGCCAAGCAGACCACUGUAUAUCUACCCCUGAGGCAGCAGCUCUCGCCACCAUAUCCCCUGUGUCAAAGGCUGCUCGCACACCUGAUGCCUGGCCAGCUCUGUGCCCUCAAGAACGACAGCAUGGAAGGCCUGACACUGGUCCUGUGGAAUAUGUUUUGCUUGCACAGAAACUUUCUUCCAGAGCUCAACUCUGCGCUCUGGCCACAUAGAUUUGAUAGUCCACAACACAAAGGGCUGGCAGCUGCCAAAUGGUAAACCCUCUGUCCUAAUGAAUCCAGGUGUCGCAGUUCCAGGUUUUGGACUGCAGUACACCAUGCUCCUGGGCUGCCUUCUCGCUCACCAAUGCUGUCUCAACUACCAUGCUCUUUUGUGCAGGUUGAGAGAUGUAACUGAGCACAUCCUCAGGUAGGACGUAUGUUCUCUCAAUUCCCUUUGACACAGGAGGAACAGUGUGGGGUGUCUGCCAUACUUUCUUUACCAGCUUGUCCGAGAUAGGAUGCAAGGGCAUGGCAACAGUAUUGCAGGAGGGCUUUUGCUCCAGAUACUGACCAGUGAGACUCCCUAUUGACUCCUGGAAUGGAAUUUAAUUAAAUCCAACUAGUUUAGCCAAUCUUUUCAAGAACUGGGGGAAAGAUGGAUUUGCUGAUGUGGAAGUAUUAUCUUCUUGUUUUUCUGCUCUAAAAUGGUAGGUAAGAUCAGCCAUAUCAUCCUCUCCAGAAGAAUCACAGCAACAACCCUCAUCCCUGGAAGCGACACCUGGCUUCUAGCUGGAUGAGUCACAACCCACCAUUGGCAAGGUGGGUGUGAGGGGACGCUUUCACAGGGGGAUGAUAGAGGCUGUGCUGGGACCGCUGGCAGAGGGAGCAUUCGACUUGAGGUCAUUGCUUCAUCCAGUGAGAGAAACAGCUCUGGAGAUCUAGAGGACAUCCUUGUUUCCAAAAGCAUCCCGACUGCACUGGAGCUCACAGAAGGAUCUGCAGCAAGUUCUGGAAGUGGCUCUUUGGGGUCUUGAGGCAGCCUCAGCGAUGAGGAGGGUGGAUCUGGUCAGGUCAGAGAGCGUACCCAGACACAGAGAUUCCCCAGGUUGUGGUUCCAGUUCUGAUACCAGGUGGAGGGGAUGGAGACUGAGGCACAAAAACGGCUUGAAGGUUGUGGCAUCAGUGUUCGUGGGUUUGAAA